rnacentral:rRNA from 1 species
AUCACUUAAAGCGAUUCAGCGGGUUACGAUUGACGGAGCGAAGCGACGUCAAAGCGUAUACAAAGUCGAGUCGGUUUAAGGAUACGUUCGUUGGGUAGGGGAGCGUUCUGUAAGCCUGUGAAGGUGUGUCGUGAGGCAUGCUGGAGGUAUCAGAAGUGCGAAUGCUGACAUAAGUAACGAUAAAGCGGGUGAAAAGCCCGCUCGCCGGAAGACCAAGGGUUCCUGUCCAACGUUAAUCGGGGCAGGGUGAGUCGACCCCUAAGGCGAGGCCGAAAGGCGUAGUCGAUGGGAAACGGGUUAAUAUUCCCGUACUUGGUGUUACUGCGAAGGGGGGACGGAGAAGGCUAUGUUGGCCGGGCGACGGUUGUCCCGGUUUAAGCGUGUAGGUGUGUGUUCCAGGUAAAUCCGGUUCACUUUAACACUGAGGCGUGAUGACGAGGCACUACGGUGCUGAAGCAACAAAUGCCCUGCUUCCAGGAAAAGCCUCUAAGCAUCAGGUAACAUCAAAUCGUACCCCAAACCGACACAGGUGGUCAGGUAGAGAAUACCAAGGCGCUUGAGAGAACUCGGGUGAAGGAACUAGGCAAAAUGGUGCCGUAACUUCGGGAGAAGGCACGCUGACACGUAGGUGAAGUGAUUUACUCAUGGAGCUGAAGUCAGUCGAAGAUACCAGCUGGCUGCAACUGUUUAUUAAAAACACAGCACUGUGCAAACACGAAAGUGGACGUAUACGGUGUGACGCCUGCCCGGUGCCGGAAGGUUAAUUGAUGGGGUCAGCGCAAGCGAAGCUCCUGAUCGAAGCCCCGGUAAACGGCGGCCGUAACUAUAACGGUCCUAAGGUAGCGAAAUUCCUUGUCGGGUAAGUUCCGACCUGCACGAAUGGCGUAAUGAUGGCCAGGCUGUCUCCACCCGAGACUCAGUGAAAUUGAACUCGCUGUGAAGAUGCAGUGUACCCGCGGCAAGACGGAAAGACCCCGUGAACCUUUACUAUAGCUUGACACUGAACAUUGAGCCUUGAUGUGUAGGAUAGGUGGGAGGCUUUGAAGUGUGGACGCCAGUCUGCAUGGAGCCGACCUUGAAAUACCACCCUUUAAUGUUUGAUGUUCUAACGUGGACCCGUAAUCCGGGUUGCGGACAGUGUCUGGUGGGUAGUUUGACUGGGGCGGUCUCCUCCUAAAGAGUAACGGAGGAGCACGAAGGUUGGCUAAUCCUGGUCGGACAUCAGGAGGUUAGUGCAAUGGCAUAAGCCAGCUUGACUGCGAGCGUGACGGCGCGAGCAGGUGCGAAAGCAGGUCAUAGUGAUCCGGUGGUUCUGAAUGGAAGGGCCAUCGCUCAACGGAUAAAAGGUACUCCGGGGAUAACAGGCUGAUACCGCCCAAGAGUUCAUAUCGACGGCGGUGUUUGGCACCUCGAUGUCGGCUCAUCACAUCCUGGGGCUGAAGUAGGUCCCAAGGGUAUGGCUGUUCGCCAUUUAAAGUGGUACGCGAGCUGGGUUUAGAACGUCGUGAGACAGUUCGGUCCCUAUCUGCCGUGGGCGCUGGAGAACUGAGGGGGGCUGCUCCUAGUACGAGAGGACCGGAGUGGACGCAUCACUGGUGUUCGGGUUGUCAUGCCAAUGGCACUGCCCGGUAGCUAAAUGCGGAAGAGAUAAGUGCUGAAAGCAUCUAAGCACGAAACUUGCCCCGA